rnacentral:rRNA from 1 species
AUUGAACGCUGGCGGCAGGCCUAACACAUGCAAGUCGAACGGUAACAGGAAACAGCUUGCUGUUUCGCUGACGAGUGGCGGACGGGUGAGUAAUGUCUGGGAAACUGCCUGAUGGAGGGGGAUAACUACUGGAAACGGUAUCUAAUACCGCAUAACGUCGCAAGACCAAAGAGGGGGACCUUCGGGCCUCUUGCCAUCGGAUGUGCCCAGAUGGGAUUAGCUAGUAGGUGGGGUAACGGCUCACCUAGGCGACGAUCCCUAGCUGGUCUGAGAGGAUGACCAGCCACACUGGAACUGAGACACGGUCCAGACUUCUACGGGAGGCAGCAGUGGGGAAUAUUGCACAAUGGGUGCAAGCCUGAUGCAGCCAUGCCGCGUGUAUGAAGAAGGCCUUCGGGUUGUAAAGUACUUUCAGCGGGGAGGAAGGGAGUAAAGUUAAUACCUUUACUCAUUGACGUUACCCGCAGAAGAAGCACCGGCUAACUCCGUG